CCUANGGGUGGCAGCAGUGGGGAAUCUUGGACAAUGGGGGCAACCCUGAUCCAGCGACGCCGCGUGGGUGAUGAAGGCCUUCGGGUUGUAAAGCCCUUUUGUCGGGGACGAUGAUGACGGUACCCGACGAAUAAGCACCGGCUAACUCCGUGCCAGCAGCCGCGGUAAGACGGAGGGUGCUAGCGUUGUUCGGAAUUACUGGGCGUAAAGGGCGCGUAGGUGGCUUGUUAAGUCGGGUGUGAAAGCCCGGGGCUCAACCCCGGAACGGCACCCGAGACUGGCAGGCUGGAGACCGGGAGAGGAGAGUGGAAUACCCAGUGUAGAGGUGAAAUUCGUAGAUAUUGGGUGGAACACCAGUGGCGAAAGCGGCUCUCUGGCCCGGUUCUGACACUGAGGCGCGAAAGCGUGGGGAGCAAACAGGAUUAGAUACCCUANUANUC
rnacentral:rRNA from 1 species